rnacentral:rRNA from 1 species
AUUAGUGGCGAACGGGUGAGUAAUACGUGAGUAACCUGCCCUUGACUCUGGGAUAAGCCUGGGAAACCGGGUCUAAUACUGGAUACUACCUCUUACCGCAUGGUGGGUGGUGGAAAGGGUUUUACUGGUUUUGGAUGGGCUCACGGCCUAUCAGCUUGUUGGUGGGGUAAUGGCUCACCAAGGCGACGACGGGUAGCCGGCCUGAGAGGGUGACCGGCCACACUGGGACUGAGACACGGCCCAGACUCCUACGGGAGGCAGCAGUGGGGAAUAUUGCACAAUGGGCGGAAGCCUGAUGCAGCGACGCCGCGUGAGGGAUGACGGCCUUCGGGUUGUAAACCUCUUUCAGUAGGGAAGAAGCGAGAGUGACGGUACCUGCAGAAGAAGCGCCGGCUAACUACGUGCCAGCAGCCGCGGUAAUACGUAGGGCGCAAGCGUUGUCCGGAAUUAUUGGGCGUAAAGAGCUCGUAGGCGGUUUGUCGCGUCUGCUGUGAAAGCCCGGGGCUCAACCCCGGGUCUGCAGUGGGUACGGGCAGACUAGAGUGCAGUAGGGGAGACUGGAAUUCCUGGUGUAGCGGUGAAAUGCGCAGAUAUCAGGAGGAACACCGAUGGCGAAGGCAGGUCUCUGGGCUGUUACUGAC